UUAAGAAUCUUGCGCAAUGGGCGAAAGCCUGACGCAGCGACGCCGCGUGGACGAUGAAGGUCUUCGGAUUGUAAAGUCCAGUAAGCAGGAACGAAUAAGCAGCGGGUAAUAUUCGUUGUGAUGGCGGUACCUGCCUAAAGCCUCGGCUAACUACGUGCCAGCAGCCGCGGUAAUACGUAUGAGGCGAGCGUUGUUCGGAAUUAUUGGGCGUAAAGGGCGUGUAGGCGGGGAGUUAAGUUAGGUGUGAAAUCCACAGGCUCAACUUGUGAGCUGCACCUAAUACUGAUUCUCUUGAGUUCGGGAGAGGAGAGCGGAAUUCCCGGUGUAGCGGUGAAAUGCGUAGAUAUCGGGAAGAACACCAGUGGCGAAGGCGGCUCGUCUGGCCUAGAACUGACGCUA
rnacentral:rRNA from 1 species